rnacentral:lncRNA from 1 species
GGCGCUAUGGGGUGGUUAUGGGGUGGUUAUGGGGUGGUUAUGGGNUAUGGGGUGGUUAUGGGGUGUCUAUAGGGUGUCCAUGGGGUGGUUAUGGGGUCUCUAUGGGUCUCUAUGGGGUGGUUAUGGGGUGUCUAUAGGGUCUCUAUGGGGUGGUUAUGGGGUCUCUAUGGGGUGUCUAUGGGGUGGUUAUGGGGUGUCUAUGGGGUGGUUAUGGGGUCUCUAUAGGGUCUCUAUGGGUCUCUAUGGGUCUAUGGGUCUCUAUGGGUCUCUAUGGGGUCUCUAUGGGGCGGUUAUGGGGUGUCUGUCUAUAGGAUCUCUAUAGGGUCUCUAUGCGGUGGUUAUGGGGUCUCUAUAGGGUCUUUAUGGGGUGGUUAUGGGGUCUCUAUGGGUCUCUAUGGGUUCCUAUGGGUCCCUAUGGGUCUCUAUGGGUGUCUAUGGGGUGUCUAUGGGGUGUCUAUGGGGUACCUGGCGCUCUGCAUCUCUCCAUGAGCUCACUAUGGGGUCUCUAUGGGGUGUCUAUGGGUCUCUAUGGGUCUCUAUGGGGUGUCUAUGGGUCGCUAUGGGUCUCUAUGGGUCCCUAUGGGUCCCUAUGGGUCGCUAUGGGUCGCUAUGGGUCUCUAUGGGGUACCUGGCGCUCUGCGUCUCUCCAUGAGCUCACUAUGGGUCUCUAUGGGGCUCUAUGGGUCUCUAUGGGUCUCUAUGGGGUGUCUAUGGGUCGCUAUGGGUCUCUAUGGGUUGCUAUGGGUCACUAUGGGUCUCUAUGGGGUACCUGGCGCUCUGCGUCUCUCCAUGAGCUCACUAUGGGGUCUCUAUGGGUCGCUAUGGGGUGGUUAUGGGUCUCUAUGGGUCUCUAUGGGUCGCUAUGGGUCUCUAUGGGGUGUCUAUGGGUCUCUAUGGGUCUCUAUGGGUCGCUAUGGGUCGCUAUGGGUCUCUAUGGGGUACCUGGCGCUCUGCGUAUCUCCAUGAGCUCACUAUGGGGUAUCUAUGGGUCCCUAUGGGGUCUCUAUGGGGUCCCUAUGGGUCACUAUGGGUGUCUAUGGGUCUCUAUGGGUCCCUAUGGGUCCCUAUGGGUCGCUAUGGGUCUCUAUGGGUCUCUAUGGGGUGUCUAUGGGUCUCUAUGGGUCCCUUUGGGUCUCUAUGGGUCGCUAUGGGGUAUCUAUGUGUCCCUAUGGGUCUCUAUGGGUCGCUAUGGGGUAUCUAUGGGUCGCUAUGGGUCUCUAUGGGGUUACCUGGUGCUCUCCGUCUCUCCAUGAGCUCACUAUGGGGUCUCUAUGGGUCGCUAUGGGUCUCUAUGGGUCCCUAUGGGGUCUCUAUGGGGUCUCUAUGGGUCUCUAUGGGUCUCUAUGGGUCGCUAUGGGGUCUCUAUGGGGUGGUUAUGGGGGGGGUCUCUAUGGGUCUCUAUGUGUCUCUAUGGGUCUCUAUGGGUCUCUAUGGGUCCCUAUGGGGCCUCUAUGGGUCUCUAUGGGUCGCUAUGGGUCGCUAUGGGGUGGUUAUGGGGUAUCUAUGGGGUGGUUAUGGGGUUACCUGUCGCUCUCCGUCUCUCCAUGAGCUCACUAUGGGGUCUCUAUGGGUCGCUAUGGGUCUCUAUGGGUCUCUAUGGGUCUCUAUGGGUCGCUAUGGGUCUCUAUGGGUCUCUAUGGGGUAUCUAUGGGUCUCUAUGGGUCUCUAUGGGUCCCUAUGGGGUAUCUAUGGGUCCCUAUGGGUCUCUAUGGGUCGCUAUGGGGUGGUUAUGGGGUAUCUAUGGGUUACCUGGUGCUCUGCGUCUCUCCAUGAGCUCACUCCGUGGCGCUGUGGGUUCAUCCUCAAAGUCAAACUCGGUUGGGACGGGAGCUCUGACAACAAAGUGAACCAAAAUCAGCCUUUUUUGACCCAAAAAUGGGUUUAAUGGCCUAAAUGGCAGCCAAUGACCCCAAAUGGCACCUAAUGGGGUCUCCCCCCUCAACCCCCCCCCCACAAUUGGGGUCUUCCCC